rnacentral:rRNA from 1 species
CGCACGGGUGCGUAACGCGUAUGCAAUCUGCCUUCCACAGAGGGAUAGCCCAGAGAAAUUUGGAUUAAUACCUCAUAGCAUCAUGACCCGGCAUCGGGAUAUGAUUAAAGUCACAACGGUGGAAGAUGAGCAUGCGUCCCAUUAGCUAGUUGGUAAGGUAACGGCUUACCAAGGCUACGAUGGGUAGGGGUCCUGAGAGGGAGAUCCCCCACACUGGUACUGAGACACGGACCAGACUCCUACGGGAGGCAGCAGUGAGGAAUAUUGGUCAAUGGGCGCAAGCCUGAACCAGCCAUGCCGCGUGCAGGAUGACGGUCCUAUGGAUUGUAAACUGCUUUUGUACGGGAAGAAACCCUCCUACGUGUAGGAGCUUGACGGUACCGUAAGAAUAAGGAUCGGCUAACUCCGUGCCAGCAGCCGCGGUAAUACGGAGGAUCCAAGCGUUAUCCGGAAUCAUUGGGUUUAAAGGGUCUGUAGGCGGUCUUGUAAGUCAGUGGUGAAAGCCCAUCGCUCAACGGUGGAACGGCCAUUGAUACUGCUGGACUUGAAUUAUUGGGAAGCAACUAGAAUAUGUAGUGUAGCGGUGAAAUGCUUAGAGAUUACAUGGAAUACC